UAAGGAAUAUUGGUCAAUGGGAGGCAACUCUGAACCAGCCAUGCCGCGUGCAGGAAGACAGCCCUCUGGGUCGUAAACUGCUUUUAUCUGGGAAUAAACCUACUUACGUGUAAGUAGCUGAAUGUACCAGAAGAAUAAGGAUCGGCUAACUCCGUG
rnacentral:rRNA from 1 species